GACGAACGCUGGCGGCGUGCUUAACACAUGCAAGUCGAACGGAAAGGCCCUGCUUUUGUGGGGUGCUCGAGUGGCGAACGGGUGAGUAACACGUGAGUAACCUGCCCUUGACUUUGGGAUAACUUCAGGAAACUGGGGCUAAUACCGGAUAGGAGCUCCUGCUGCAUGGUGGGGGUUGGAAAGUUUCGGCGGUUGGGGAUGGACUCGCGGCUUAUCAGCUUGUUGGUGGGGUAGUGGCUUACCAAGGCUUUGACGGGUAGCCGGCCUGAGAGGGUGACCGGCCACAUUGGGACUGAGAUGCGGCCCAGACUCCUACGGGAGGCAGCAGUGGGGAAUAUUGCACCAUGGGCGGAAGCCUGAUGCAGCAACGCCGCGUGCGGGAUGACGGCCUUCGGGUUGUAAACCGCUUUCGCCUGUGACGAAGCGUGAGUGACGGUAAUGGGUAAAGAAGCACCGGCUAACUACGUG
rnacentral:rRNA from 1 species